rnacentral:rRNA from 1 species
UACGUAGGGCGCGAGCGUUGUCCGGAUUUAUUGGGCGUAAAGAGCUCGUAGGCGGCUUGUCGCGUCGUUCGUGAAAACUCACAGCUCAACUGUGAGCUUGCAGUCGAUACGGGCAGACUGGAGUUCGGUAGGGGAGACUGGAAUUCCUGGUGUAGCGGUGAAAUGCGCAGAUAUCAGGAGGAACACCGGUGGCGAAGGCGGGUCUCUGGGCCGAUACUGACGCUGAGGAGCGAAAGCGUGGGGAGCGAACAGG